UACGUAGGGUGCGAGCGUUAAUCGGAAUUACUGGGCGUAAAGUGUGCGCAGGUGGCCGCGCAUGUCGAGUGUGAAAUCCCCGGGCUUAACUUGGGAAUUGCGCUCGAAACUACGUGGCUCGAGUGUGGCAGAGGAAGGUGGAAUUCACGUGUAGCGGUGAAAUGCGUAGAGAUGUGGAGGAACACCGAUGGCGAAGGCAGCCCUUCUGGGCCAACAC
rnacentral:rRNA from 1 species